CAUUGUGAAGAUUCUCAGGAGAUUCGUGUCGUAUUUGUUCAUUCUUGUCUUCUUUACCGGUGAAUUUAAUUCACUUGUCCGUGUUCAUUAUAUCCUAUUCAUCCUUGUAAUUCUUUCCUAUGUUGGGAAUUCUUAGGAGCCUGUCUUGUUAUUUAUUCCUCUCUUUUCGAUCCGGAGCAUUGAAGCUAUCUUAGAAGUUUUUGUUUCCUAUCUUUUCAAUUAUUUCGAGUUUCUAACCUCAUCUAGUUCUCUUCAUACCGG
rnacentral:lncRNA from 1 species